rnacentral:rRNA from 1 species
UACGUAGGGUGCAAGCGUUGUCCGGAAUUAUUGGGCGUAAAGAGCUCGUAGGCGGUCUGUCACGUCGGCUGUGAAAACCCGGGGCUCAACCCCGGGCCUGCAGUCGAUACGGGCAGACUAGAGUGCGGUAGGGGAGACUGGAAUUCCUGGUGUAGCGGUGGAAUGCGCAGAUAUCAGGAGGAACACCGGUGGCGAAGGCGGGUCUCUGGGCAGUAACUGACGCUGAGGAGCGAAAGCGUGGGGAGCGAACAGG